GCGCGAAAAUAUGAGGGUCUAGCUGCCAAUCGCUGGCGUCCCGCCAGUGGCGUGAGUACCAAUCCGCCAUCAUAUUGGAGUCUCCUGGUAAGUGCUCUGCCAGCAAGGUGAUGUUGCGUGGUAGGCAGUAGUCGAAGAUCUCUUUCGUGAGAUCCGCCAGUGUUCGAGAACGAGUGCCUCCAAGGCGGUUGAUGUAUCUGACCGCUGAGACGUUGUCCAUGCGGAGUAGGAUGCAGCAGUUGGAUCGAUCCUUUGCCAGGCUGCGAAUGGCGAAGGACCCGGCCAAGAGUUCCAGGCAAUUUAUGUGCAUCGAGAGCUCUUCGGAAGUCCAGACUCCUCCUGUGGACGUGGUUCCGUCUGUUGCUCCCCAGCC
rnacentral:lncRNA from 1 species